UACAGAGGGUGCAAGCGUUAAUCGGAAUUACUGGGCGUAAAGCGCGCGUAGGCGGCUAAGUAAGUCGGGUGGGAAAGCCCCGGGCUCAACCUGGGAACUGCAUUCGAUACUGUUUGGCUAGAGUAUGAGAGAGGGAGGUAGAAUUCCACGUGUAGCGGUGAAAUGCGUAGAUAUGUGGAGGAAUACCGGUGGCGAAGGCGGCCUCCUGGCUCAAUACUGACGCUGAGGUGCGAAAGCGUGGGGAGCAAACAGG
rnacentral:rRNA from 1 species